rnacentral:rRNA from 1 species
CCUACGGGUGGCAGCAGUGAGGAAUAUUGGUCAAUGGACGGAAGUCUGAACCAGCCAUGCCGCGUGAAGGAAGACUGCCCUAUGAGUUGUAAACUGCUUUUGUACAAGAGUAAACUUGUAUACGUGUAUUCUGCUGUAUGUACUGUAUGAAUAAGGAUCGGCUAACUCCGUGCCAGCAGCCGCGGUAAUACGGAGGAUCCAAGCGUUAUCCGGAUUUAUUGGGUUUAAAGGGUGCGUAGGUGGAUUGUUAAGUUAGAGGUGAAAUGUUCGGGCUCAACUCGAGAAUUGCAUCUAAUACUGGUGGUCUAGAGAAGAGAAGCGGUAGGCGGAAUGUAUGGUGUAGCGGUGAAAUGCUUAGAGAUCAUACAGAACACCGAUUGCGAAGGCAGCUUAC